ACGCCUUCCGACGCAACUACCAAUCAAUACAUAAGAAAAUUUACUGAUGAAGCACGUUUGUUUUGUUUGCAUACAUUUCAGUUUCUUAAAUUUUAAUAGAAGCAAACAUGAUGGAAUUAAAUUUAAAUCGAGUAGAUUAUCUACAGGUUGGCGUGACAUCACCACAGACAACUAAGCUUUUACCUCCGACGGAAGAAAACAGCUGUCAGAGAGUUGCUGUUGGUGAUCAAUCAGGAGUCUUGAUGUGUUUUGGUAUAAAGAAAAGUGAAACACAGGUAAAGAU